AACAAGCCAGCGCUGAGUUUCACGUAUGUGAAAGCGGGGGAACCAAUAAUUCGGGGUGAAUCCGGCAUAGCCGGUAGGGCUACCUCUCUAGUCCGAAUCCGUCAGCUAACUUCGUAAGCGCUUUAAAGAAGGCAC
rnacentral:sRNA from 2 species